AACGAACGCUGGCGGCAGGCUUAACACAUGCAAGUCGAGCGGGCCCUUCGGGGUCAGCGGCAGACGGGUGAGUAACACGUGGGAACGUACCUUUUGGUUCGGAACAACUCCGGGAAACUGGAGCUAAUACCGGAUAAGCCCUUAGGGGGAAAGAUUUAUCGCCAAAAGAUCGGCCCGCGUCUGAUUAGCUAGUUGGUGGGGUAACGGCCCACCAAGGCGACGAUCAGUAGCUGGUCUGAGAGGAUGAUCAGCCACACUGGGACUGAGACACGGCCCAGACUCCUACGGGAGGCAGCAGUGGGGAAAAUGGGACAAUGGGCGCAAGCCGGAUCCAGCCAUGCCGCGUGAGUGAUGAAGGCCUUAGGGUUGUAAAGCUCUUUUGUCCGGGAAGAAAUGACUGUACCGGAAGAAUAAGCCCCGGCUAACUUCGUG
rnacentral:rRNA from 1 species